rnacentral:tRNA from 1 species
GCCGAGGUGGCGAAACUGGCAGACGCACGGGACUUAAAAUCCCGUGGCCUCAGGGCCGUGUGGGUUCGAGCCCCACCCUCGGCA